rnacentral:tRNA from 1 species
GCCAGGAUGGCGGAGUGGACAAUCGCAGUGGUCUGUAAAACCACCGACCGAAAGGUCUCCGCAGGUUCGAAUCCUGCUCCUGGCA